UGGGGAAUAUUGCACAAUGGGCGAAAGCCUGAUGCAGCAACGCCGCGUGAGUGAUGAAGGUCUUCGGAUUGUAAAGCUCUGUCUUUUGGGACGAUAAUGACGGUACCAAAGGAGGAAGCCACGGCUAACUACGUGCCAGCAGCCGCGGUAAUACGUAGGUGGCGAGCGUUGUCCGGAUUUACUGGGCGUAAAGGGUGCGUAGGCGGAUGUUUAAGUGAGAUGUGAAAUACCCGGGCUUAACUUGGGUGCUGCAUUUCAAACUGGAUAUCUAGAGUGCAGGAGAGGAGAAUGGAAUUCCUAGUGUAGCGGUGAAAUGCGUAGAGAUUAGGAAGAACACCAGUGGCGAAGGCGAUUCUCUGGACUGUAACUGACGCUGAGGCACGAAAGCGUGGGUAGCAAACAGGAUUAGAUACCCU
rnacentral:rRNA from 1 species